GACGAACGCUGGCGGCGCGCCUAACACAUGCAAGUCGAGCGAUAACCAGUCCUUCGGGACGUGGGGACAGCGGCGAACGGGUGAGUAACACGUGGGUAAUCUACCCUCGGUUUCGGGAUAGCCCGGGGAAACCCGGAUUAAUACCGAAUGGCCUCUCAGGCUCUCGGGCUUGAGAGAAAAGGUAGCUUCGGCCUCUGACCGAGGAUGAGCCCGCGGCCGAUUAGCUAGUUGGUGGGGUAAUGGCCCACCAAGGGCGACGAUCGGUAGCUGGUCUGAGAGGACGAUCAGCCACACUGGGACUGAGACACGGCCCAGACUCCUACGGGAGGCAGCAGUGGGGAAUCUUGC
rnacentral:rRNA from 1 species